rfam:Tupaia chinensis contig41059, whole genome shotgun sequence.
AUUCCUUACUCCAGAAGCUUUCUGCCUGUAGAGUACUCCAGCAUUGCCUGAGGGGAGAAAGGGAGCACAUUUCUUUUCCUUAUUCAGGAAGACUCUGUAUUCUUUGGGGCCUACAAAUAAGCUGACAGC